CAGCAAAUGAGAACCCCUGAUAACAUGGGUGAGAGGUUCAUUCUUUGACAAUGCCAGUUAUAGAAGAUGCAUUGUUUUGACCACAGGCUCACUUUCAAUACAAUGUGUCAUCAGGCUUAAGUGGCAAGUGAGAUGUUACCUGUGUCAACUUCCCACUUUAUUGAACGCUGGACUUCGUGAAAGUGUUUGGUGGGUGCCGGAGCAUGAGUCUCACUUUCUGUUCCCUCUGGGGUGGAGGUUUGGGGAGAAAUGCCUUUACCACAUUACAACCGUAUAUUUGCAGUUUUUGAUUCUGCAGUUGAUUAAACACUUUCACAUGUACUCAUGUCUCCUCCUAGCUGCACUGCUGUCAUCUCAAUUCUACUGAUGCAGAAAUGGAGACCCUGAGAGGCGGUCACCCUAAAAGUUAGUCACAUGGUAGGAGCCCCCACCAUGAAGUAUAUCCAGGCCUGAGCCCUCCCCAUCAUCCGCUGCUCACUAAUGCUUACUGUCUGAGUCUGCUCAGCUGUUUAACAGUAUUCUGCAGGCUGAGGGGACUUAUAGGCAGUAGAUAUUUAUUUCUUUCAGUUCUGGAAUCCAGAAGUCCAAGAUCAGAGCACCAGCCUGGUUGAGUGAGGGCACUCUUCCAGGUUAAAAACUUUUCAUUGUAUCCUCACAGAGUGGAAGGGGCCAGGGAGC
rnacentral:lncRNA from 1 species